UACGUAGGGUCCGAGCGUUGUCCGGAAUUACUGGGCGUAAAGCGUGCGCAGGCGGUUUGUUAAGUCUGCUGUGAAAUCCCCGAGCUCAACUUGGGAAUUGCAGUGGAUACUGGCAGGCUGGAGUAUGGUAGAGGAAGGUGGAAUUCCCGGUGUAGCAGUGAAAUGCGUAGAGAUCGGGAGGAACACCAGUGGCGAAGGCGGCCUUCUGGACCAAUACUGACGCUCAUGCACGAAAGCGUGGGGAGCAAACAGG
rnacentral:rRNA from 1 species